rnacentral:rRNA from 1 species
CGUGGGUAACCUGCCCCUUAAGUCUGGGAUACCAUUUGGAAACAGAUGCUAAUACCGGAUAAAAAGCUACUUUCGCAUGAAAGAAGUUUAAAAGGACGGCGUAAGCUGUCGCUAAAAGGAUGGACCUGCGAUGCAUUAGCUAGUUGGUAAGGUAACGGCUUGCCAAGGCGAUGAUGCAUAGCCGAGUUGAGAGACUGAUCGGCCACAUUGGGACUGAGACACGGCCCAAACUCCUACGGGAGGCAGCAGUAGGGAAUCUUCCACAAUGGACGCAAGUCUGAUGGAGCAACGCCGCGUGAGUGAAGAAGGUUUUCGGAUCGUAAAGCUCUGUUGUUGGUGAAGAAGGAUAGAGGUAGUAACUGGCCUUUAUUUGACGGUAAUCAACCAGAAAGUCACGGGCUAACUACGUGCCAGCAGCCGCGGUAAAU